CCUGGCACGAAAAAACGUUACGUGAGAGGCCAGUUACUUGGAAAGGGUAGGCUUACCAAAUGCUAUGAGCUCUCAGACAGCGCUACCAACCAGACAUUUGCUGGCAAAAUAGUUUCCAAGCAGCUUUCGCAAAAGCAGCAUCAGAAGGAUAAGAUGGCCCAGGAGAUUUCUAUUCAUCGCUUGCUGGUCCAUAUAAACAUUGUUGGAUUUCACAGCUUUUUUUGAGGACAGCAACUUUGUCUUCAUUGUUUUGGAGCUUUGAAAAAGAAGGAGUCUCAUGGAGUUGCAUAAAACAAGAAAAGCCAUCACAGAACCUGAAGCUCGCUUUUUCAUGCACCAACUUCUUCUUGGUGUUAAGCAUCUCCACGAAAAUAAGAUCAUUCACAGAAUGUUUAAACUGGAUAAUCUUUUCCUCAAUGAAGACAUGGAGCUGUAGAUUGGAGACUUUGGCCUUGCA